UCUUAUGCUUCAUUGCAUUAAUGAGGGGAAUAGUGCUUUUUUUCCAGGCUGAUUAAUCAUUGAUAAUACCAUUAUUGCUUUUCAAUUAUUGCAUUCCUUUAAAAAGAAACAGAAGGCCCUUUGGGGUAAUUUUGUUUUGAAGUUGGAUAUGAGUAAGGAUUACGAUAAAGUGGAGUGACAUUUAGUGCAGGCAGUUAUGAUCAGAUUGGGUUUCGAGGAGUGUUGGGUUGAGUUGAUUAUGCGAUGUAUCUAGACUGUCAAAUAUUCGAUCAUUGUGAAUGGUAAGGCUCGAGGGAGACCCUCUAAGUCCCUUAUUGUUUUUAUUCUACAGUGAUGGCCUUUCAGCUUUGUUAAGGGUGACAUGUAAUGAUGACCUUUUGAAGGGAGUACAAGUAAUUCGAGGGGGUCCUCAAAUUUCCCACUUAUUCUUUGUAGAUGAUAGUCUGAUAUUUGGCAUGGCUUCUACUGAAGGGGCAAAUAACAUAGUGAUUGUUUUACAGGAAUAUGAGUGGUGUUCCGGGAAGCAAAUCAAUUUUGGCAAAUCCCUUAUUUAUUUUAGUUCAAAUGUUGAUCAUGGUAUACAUGCUACUAUUGAGGGAGUGUUGAGUGUUCGCAGUAUUGCGGAUCCUAGGAAUUAUUUAGGGUUGCCUAUGGUUGUGGGGAGUGACAAAAAAUGUGCAUUUCAGGCAAUUAAAGAUCAUUUUCUUGGAAAAUUUAGAAGUUGGUAUAAUCAAUGCUUCUCACAGGGUGGUAAGGCUGUAUUCAUUAAAUCAAUCCUACAAGUUAUUCAGCUAUACUCGAUCUCUUGUUUUUUUUAUUUCCCAGUUCUUUUUGUAAAUAUUUGGAGGCGUUAAUGUGUCAAUAUUGGUGGGGAAAGAAAGUCUCAAGGAGGGGGAUUCAUUGGUGUUCUUAGGAGAACUUGUGUUUUUUUUAAAGAGGUCGGUGGGCUUGGGUUUCGAGAUCUCUUGAAGGUUAAGAUUGCGUUAUUGGCUAAGCAAGGUUGCCGUGUGCUGACAAAUUUGAAUUCUUUAAUGUCUCAUGUGCUUAAAGCUAAAUACUUUCCUACGUGCAGUUUUAUGGAAGCAGGGUCAAGGCAACAACCUUCAUUUGUUUGGUGUAGUAUUUGGGUUGUUAAAGGCCUCUUUCAAAUGCGAAGGGGUUGGCAAGUGGGGAAUGGGUGCUCCAUCUCUGUAUAGGAUGAUGCCUGGCUUAUUGGUCCACGGCCUUGCAAAAUCAAUAUUGAUCGUGUUAGUGGAAUUAACAGAGUUGUAGAUUUGAUUGAUGUGGAUAAGGGCGAGUGGUGGAGUGAUUUAAUACAAACUUUAUUUCCUGAAUCGCUUGGGCGGUCCAUACUGAGUAGCCCGUUGGCUGGGCAUGAUUUAUCAGAUCGUUGGCACUAGUUCUUGGAGGAUAAUGGUAAAUAUUCGGUCUGGAGUGGCUACAAGCUACUGUUGCACAAUUCCAUCCUUCAUGUCUGUCGAGAUUGCCCUGGAGUCCUGCACAUUUGGCACAAUUGGGUAUUAGUUGGGAUCCUGUUCUAGCGGAUAAUGAUACACCCCUUCAUUGGGUUGGACAGUUCUUUUCUCAAGGCACUCGCCAUUUACAGCUCUCUAUUUUCACCAUAUAGACUAUCUGGACGUCUCGUAAUAAAAUCAUUCAUGAAAGAAUUUAUCAAUCAGUUCAGACGCUACUUAUGUUUGUUUUGGGGUAUCUGCGCGAAUUAGACUUUCUUCCGUCGAAUAGGGAUGGGGUUCUGGCUGUGAAGCCCAUGCUUUGGAAGCUUCCUGUUGAUCCUUGGGUUCGUGUCAAUUUUGAUGUGGGGUUCUUUGUGCAUCUGCAGGCUGCCAACGUCGGAGUUGUUGUUUGGGAUUCUGCUGGGUUGCUUUUGGGAUCGGCUUGUUCCUAGCAGGAAAACGUCUCCUGUUCGCUGACAUCGGAGGCCUUUGCUUGCGUUCAGGCUAUCCGUUUUGCUUAGGAUUUGGGGUUUCAGACAGUUGAACUGAAGGGUGAUUCGGCGGUGCUCAUUUCCAAGUUCAAUGUUGUUGCUAUUGACAGAUCGAUGAUGAGUUCCAUUAUCUGGGAUGUGAAACGAUUAGUGCUAGGUUUUGAGCAUUUCAUUACAUAAAACGGGGAGGUAAUACAGUAGCGCACCUGUUAGCUCGCGAAGGUUUCCUCCGGCGACGAGAUGUCUGUUGGAUGGAGGAGGAAGGAGGGACCAACAUUGAUUCAGGCAGCAGUGGAUAGUGAUCAGAGGGGGAGGGUCUGGUUAUGCGGCUAUGACUAUGGACCUUGCAGUUCUUGCUCGAUCUGGUUCCUUUCUAACAAUUUUUCUUUUGGUUUCAACCUUGUUCGUUGAUCUGUGGCUGACUCUUGUGGCGUUGGAGCUUUUUUGGCCAUGCAAUUUUGGCCAUGAAGAACAUUUGCGUUUUUUCAUUUAUUUUGGCCAUGCAAUUUUGGCUAUGACUAGUGUUUUCAUUUAUUUUGUUUUACUUCUUGGUUUAGAAGUCUUUUUCCUAACCAUACUAGAAAAUUUUUUAUUUCCUG
rnacentral:lncRNA from 1 species